CUCUGGAUAGAGCCAAGUGGAAAUUGCUGCUAGUGGAUAUGCUACAGCUGCUUGUGACAUUCUGAGAAGGUGGAUAUUUGCAAAUAAUACAGUUCACUUGACCCUCGCUGCUUGGCAAUGAAAGAAAAACAAUCUGAAGUACUUUCUUGGGGUUUUGGGCAGUACUUACUGGAGAUCUGUGUAAGCAAACCACGAUAUAAAUAUGAAAAGAAUUGUAUUCCUCAUGACUGUCCGGUUCUGCACUAUACAGACACUAUGCAGUAAGGAACUACUGGAUAGUUUUGACUCCUGGCACAAUAAGUCAUUGGUGUCAGAAGAAGCCAUUGAUACUGAAAGAAGAUGAAACUGUGUUGUCACACACUAGAGGAAGAAUUGAGAAAACAACUGAAAAAGCAAAAGAUGAAUAUUCUGAACAGAGAAAAUGCAUAGUAAGACUCUGAGGACCUCUAUUCUUUACUCCGAGGCUCAGGUGCUUGUGAUGUGACCUUGGGUAAGUUAUUUAACCUCCCUGGCUUCUAGACUGGAUUUUUUUAUUGCCAAGGUAACUCAGAAGAGGCUCCAGUGAAAUUUGUGCAAUUUUAGCGAGAAGAAAGGGAUUUGAAUGGGGGAGACUUGCCCCCUGUACUUUAUUUUUCAAACCCAAAGUAGGUGUUAUCAUCACUUCCUUCUAGAUUUGUUUUUUAAAGCAUUGUCGUCCCUCCUAUGAAAAGUACAGUACUGAUCUAAAUUUCUGUAUAGAUUAUUGUUUCUGGGAAGCAAUUUCCCUGUCCCUGAUGGUUUCCUAAUACCAAUGCCCUGGAAAGCUAUCACAAUCCAAAAUGGUGUCCUGAUGCCAUCUUAGCACCAGUGCCUGAGAUUUUCCCUGAAGAAGGAACGACAGGUGUGCACUCAAGACGUUGAACUCUUCAGUUCUCUGUGGCUGCAGAGUCCUGCACCAUUUGAGAUUUGUGCUGGGGCAGACCAGAUGUAUCCUCUGUCAUGUCCACUGGUAGUCAGCCUUCAACCCCUACAAAAAACAA